rnacentral:rRNA from 1 species
GUUGUUGCAGUUAGAACGCUCGUAGUCGGAUUUCGGGGCGGGCCGACCGGUCUGCCGAUGGGUAUGUACUGGCCGGCGCGUCCUUCCUUCCGGAGACCGUGCCUACUCUUAACUGAGCGGGGGCGGGAGACGGGACUUUUACUUUGAAAAAAUCAGAGUGUUUCAAGCAGGCAGCUCGCUCUUGCAUGGAUUAGCAUGGGAUAAUAAAAUAGGACUUUGGUGCUAUUUUGUUGGUUUCGAACACCGAAGUAAUGAUGAGAAGGGACAGUCAGGGGCACUCGUAUUUUGCCGAGAGAGGUGAAAUUCUCAGACCAGCGAAAGACGAACCACUGCGAAAGCAUUUGCCAGGGAUGUUUUCACUGAUCAAGAACGAAAGUUAGGGGAUCGAAGACGAUCAGAUACCGUCGUAGUCUUAACCAUAAACCAUGCCGACUAGGGAUUCGACGAUGUUCACUUAUUGACUUGUUGAGCACCUUACGGGAAACUAAAGUCUUUGGGUUCCGGGGGGAGUAUGGUCGCAAGGCUGAAACUUAAAGGAAUUGACGGAAGGGCACCACCAGGUGUGGAGCCUGCGGCUUAAUUUGACUCAACACGGGGAAACUUACCAGGUCCAGACAUUGUGAGGAUUGACAGAUUGAGAGCUCUUUCUUGAUUCGAUGGGUGGUGGUGCAUGGCCGUUCUUAGUUGGUGGAGUGAUUUGUCUGGUUAAUUCCGUUAACGAACGAGACCUUAACCUGCUAAAUAGUGGCGCGAACUUU